UACGUAGGUGGCGAGCGUUGUCCGGAUUUAUUGGGUUUAAAGGGUGCGUAGGCGGCUUUGUAAGUCAGUGGUGAAAUACUCUAGCUUAACUAGAGGGGUGCCAUUGAUACUGCGGAGCUUGAGUACAGAUGAGGUAGGCGGAAUUGACGGUGUAGCGGUGAAAUGCUUAGAUAUCGUCAAGAACACCGAUAGCGAAGGCAGCUUACUAGGCUGUAACUGACGCUGAGGCACGAAAGUGUGGGGAUCAAACAGG
rnacentral:rRNA from 1 species